rnacentral:tRNA from 1 species
GCUGUCGUAGCUCAGUGGAAGAGCGUUCCCGUGGUAAGGGAAAGGCCGAGAGUUCGAUACUCUCCGGCAGCU